rnacentral:misc_RNA from 1 species
GUAUUUUGAAUUGUUUAUUCAUAAUAUUUUUCAGACAAAGAGUUAAAAAAUAAAGGUUGAUGUUUGGUCGAUCUCCAUGAAGAAGAUCGACUGACAUUGCACACAAGGUGGAUAUGGAUUUUUAAAGAGUGCCAUAAAACACUCGUUUGUGAAUGAUCCUUCCGCAGGUUCACCUACGGAAA